GGUGCUGCAUGGCUGUCGUCAGCUCGUGUCGUGAGAUGUUGGGUUAAGUCCCGCAACGAGCGCAACCCCGCCUUCAGUUGCCAACGGUUCGGCCGUGCACUCUGGAGGAACUGCCUGUGACAAGCAGGAGGAAGGUGGGGAUGACGUCAAGUCCUCAUGGCCCUUAUGGGCUGGGCUACACACGUGCUACAAUGGCGGUGACAGAGGGAUGCAAUACCGCGAGGUGGAGCAAAUCCCUAAAAGCCGUCUCAGUUCGGAUCGCACUCUGCAACUCGAGUGCGUGAAGUUGGAAUCGCUAGUAAUCGCGGAUCAGCACGCCGCGGUGAAUACGUUCCCGGGCCUU
rnacentral:rRNA from 1 species